UUCCAAGAAAAAGGCCCAGCAAAGUCGAUGGCUAUUUUAGUAAAAGACAUUUUUUUCGAAAAUUUUCUAAGAAAAGUAUAGAGAUAGAAAGGAAAUAUAUAUAAUUAUUAUUAAGGACAAUUAAAAACUAGAUAGACAUAUUCAAAGCACGUACUUUUUGUAUCAUGGCUCGUGGAGAAAAAAAAAUUAUUUUAAAACCCGAAAACUUUAGAGCUAAUUAAUCUAACUUUAUAUUAUAAAAUAUAAGAAUUUUAUUAUUGCAAAAAUAAUGAUAAAGGUUUAUUAGAAAUGAUACGUUAAUCAAAAAAGUUGAUAGCUGGUUGGAGGGGAAAUAUAUGUAAGUAUAGGCUAACCUAAUCUUUAUUAUUAAAUGAGUUAUUUGAAGAAGGUUAAGCACAGUUUUUUGGGGAUCAGCUCAAAAAAAUUAUAUGUUUGUAUGAUAUAUGAUGUAGUAGGGGUAAGAGUACCCAUCUAUUACAAUUUUCUGAAUGUCACAGAGAAAAUAGUUUAUUUAGUACCCUUCUCUUUCAAAAAACAUCUUUGGUAUAUUUAGCACUAGAUAUGAUAAGUAAAUAUUUAAACUUUCAUUUCGUUUUAAUUUAAAAGAUACCAAUCAAUUCAAGAUUUGUUGUAAAUAAAUAUUAAUAUUACUUAUAAAUAAAGAAGGUUUUUCUACUCUUUAACAUCCCCGAUGAAAAAGCAAAAGUUUUCUAUUCUUUAUUUUGUAGCUUUAGUAAAUUAUAAUAAAGGAACUCGGCAAACUUAUUCUCCGCCUGUUUAUUAAAAACAUCGUCCUUAGAAAAAGAAUAAGGAUAGCGCCUGCCCGGUGACGAGAGUUAAACGGCCGCAGUUAAUAGCUGUGCUAAGGUAGCGCAAUCAAUUGUCCCUUAAUUGAGGAAUGGUAUGAAUGGCUGUACGUGAGAUAAGCUGUCUCUAUUAUAAUAACAUGAAAUUUUCCUUUGAGUGAAAAGACUUAGAUUUUUUUAAAAGACGAGAAGACCCUAUCGAACUUAAUAGUUUUUAAGAGAAAUAGCUUAGAAAGAAGUUUUACUGGGGCAGUAAGAAGAAAAAAAUAAUUCUUCCUUGAAAAAAAGAUCCCUUAUUAAGGACAAAAGAAAAAGUUACCGUAGGGAUAACAGCGUUAUCGUUUUUAAGAGAACUAAUCGAAGAAACGGUUUGCGACCUCGAUGUUGGAUUUAAAUUUCUUCCUUGGCGCAGUAGUUUGGAAAGUAGGUCUGUUCGCCCUUUGAAAUUUGACAUGAUCUGAGUUUAGACCGGCGUAAGCUAGGUCAGUUUCUAUCUUUAUAAUUAAUAAUCAUUGUACGAAAGGAUCCGAGUAUUUAGUCCCACUUUUUCUAU
rnacentral:rRNA from 1 species